rnacentral:rRNA from 1 species
UACGAAGGGUGCAAACGUUGCUCGGAAUUAUUGGGCGUAAAGCGCGCGUAGGCGGCGCUGCAAGUCCCAUGUGAAAUCCCACGGCUCAACCGUGGAAGUGCAUGGGAAACUGCAGUGCUUGAGUACUUAAGAGGAUCGCGGAAUUCCCGGUGUAGAGGUGAAAUUCGUAGAUAUCGGGAGGAACACCAGUGGCGAAGGCGGAGACCUGGGCCGAUACUGACGCUGAGGUGCGAAAGCGUGGGGAGCAAACAGG